GGGCCUGUAGCUCAGCGGUAGAGCAUCCGGAAAGCCGGAAGGUCGGGGGUUCGACUCCCUUCAGGUCCACCA
rnacentral:tRNA from 1 species